AUUGAACGCUGGCGGCAUGCCUUACACAUGCAAGUCGAACGGCAGCACGGGGGCAACCCUGGUGGCGAGUGGCGAACGGGUGAGUAAUGCAUCGGAACGUGCCCAGUAGUGGGGGAUAACUAGUCGAAAGAUUAGCUAAUACCGCAUACGACCUAUGGGUGAAAGCGGGGGAUUCGCAAGAACCUCGCGCUAUCGGAGCGGCCGAUGUCUGAUUAGCUAGUUGGCGGGGUAAAGGCCCACCAAGGCUUCGAUCAGUAGCUGGUCUGAGAGGACGACCAGCCACACUGGGACUGAGACACGGCCCAGACUCCUACGGGAGGCAGCAGUGGGGAAUUUUGGACAAUGGGCGCGAGCCUGAUCCAGCCAUGCCGCGUGCGGGAAGAAGG
rnacentral:rRNA from 1 species